rnacentral:circRNA from 1 species
CUUUAUAGCAGGCCAAAUCGACUCUUGUCUGGUGUGCCACUGUACAAAGGGGACGUGCCAACCCAAGAUAAAUCUGCAGUUACAUCUUUGCUGGAUGGACUGAACCAAGCCUUCGAGGAGGUUUCAUCCCAGAGUGGAGGGGCAAAGAGGCAGAGUAUACACUUGGAGCAGAAGUUGUAUGAUGGAGUCUCAGCCACCUCUACUUGGUUGGAUGACGUUGAAGAACGUUUAUUUGUUGCCACAGCACUUUUACCAGAAGAAACAGAGACUUGUCUCUUCAACCAAGAGAUUCUUGCCAAAGACAUUAAGGAAAUGUCUGAAGAAAUGGAUAAGAACAAAAACUUGUUUUCCCAAGCUUUUCCAGAGAAUGGUGAUAAUCGAGAUGUUAUUGAAGAUACUUUGGGUUGUCUUUUGGGCAGGUUAUCCUUGCUAGACUCAGUAGUGAAUCAACGAUGUCAUCAGAUGAAAGAAAGACUUCAGCAAAUACUAAAUUUCCAGAAUGAUCUGAAAGUGCUGUUUACAUCACUGGCUGACAACAAAUACAUCAUUCUGCAAAAACUGGCAAAUGUGUUUGAACAGCCCGUAGCAGAACAAAUAGAG